ACUCCUACGGGAGGCAGCAGUGGGGAAUAUUGCACAAUGGGGGAAACCCUGAUGCAGCCAUGCCGCGUGUGUGAAGAAGGCCUUCGGGUUGUAAAGCACUUUCAGUAGGGAGGAAGGUAGUGUAGUUAACACCUGCAUUAUUUGUACGUUACCUACAGAAGAAGCACCGGCUAACUCCGUGCCAGCAGCCGCGGUAAUACGGAGGGUGCGAGCGUUAAUCGGAAUUACUGGGCGUAAAGCGCAUGCAGGCGGCCUGUUAAGUCAGAUGUGAAAGCCCGGGGCUUAACCUCGGAAUUGCAUUUGAAACUGGCAGGCUAGAGUCUUGUAGAGGGGUUAGAAUUUCAGGUGUAGCGGUGAAAUGCGUAGAGAUCUGAAGG
rnacentral:rRNA from 1 species